GAGCAACUGAGGCCAAGGGCAGUGGAAGCGCUGUGACAGCCAAAGUGCAGAAAACACGCGGAGGGCACACCUGGGGCAGCUCUUACAGUAACAGCUGGCUGGAGGCAAUGUCAGUGAUACCCCGGGUUGUUAAACAGAUAACAGAAGAGACGCGGUUGAAAUGUAGCGAUUAAAUACGAUAAUUCUGAGGCUUUUACUGACUGGAAAAUGCUUGUGUUCUAAUGGAGUAAAACGGAAGCAAUUCCUACUUUGCAUCAGUAGCGCGAUGACACAGCAGCGAAGAGAAUCAGGCUCCAGCUGCACCCAGGACUGCGGGUUACUGCUGCCCACUGACAGGAGCGGGGCCGGGGUACAGCUGAGCGCAGAGAGCAGGGAAGGAACAAGAGUCCCGGCAUGCAGGGUGGCCGGCAAUGAAGCCUGGAUCUGGCGCUCCCGGGCGAGGUUCACUGACUCCCCCACGGGGUCGAAAAGUCGCACCCACCCCAAGUCUGGGGGUUCUAAGAUUCUUGAGUCCGGUUCUGUGCCGCUGUCUCCAGGGUCAGUCAGAGACUAACGCAGGGUCAGGUCUCCAGACAUCUUUCUGCCACCCUGAUUCCCAGAAACCAUGUGUUUCUCCGGUGACCUCUCACCUCAUACCUUGCGUCAAGC